CGCCUGUUUAUCAAAAACAUCGCCUCUUGUAAACCACAGAUAAGAGGUCCCGCCUGCCCUGUGACUAUGGGUUCAACGGCCGCGGUAUUUUGACCGUGCAAAGGUAGCGCAAUCACUUGUCCUUUAAAUGAGGACCUGUAUGAAAGGCAUCACGAGGGCUUAGCUGUCUCCUUUUUCAAGUCAAUGAAAUUGAUCUCCCCGUGCAGAAGCGGGGAUUAGAACAUAAGACGAGAAGACCCUAUGGAGCUUUAGACACAAGACAGAUCAUGUUAAGCACCUCAGAUAAAAGAGCAAACUAAGUGGAACCUGUCUUAAUGUCUUUGGUUGGGGCGACCGCGGGGCAACAAAAAGCCCCCAUGAGGAAUAAAAGUAUUCUUUCAAAAACAAGAGCCACAGCUCUAAUGAGCAGAACAUCUGACCUACCAGAUCCGGCAUAGCCGAUCAACGAACCGAGUUACCCUAGGGAUAACAGCGCAAUCCCCUUUUAGAGCCCCUAUCGACAAGGGGGUUUACGACCUCGAUGUUGGAUCAGGACAUCCUAAUGGUGCAACCGCUAUUAAGGGUUCGUUUGUUCAACGAUUAAAGUCCUACAUGAUCUGAGUUCAGACCGG
rnacentral:rRNA from 1 species